rnacentral:rRNA from 1 species
CAAAAGCCUGGUCCUGACUUUAC